rnacentral:lncRNA from 1 species
GGCCCUUACCAGAAGCCAGCACCAUGUCCUUGAACAGAGCAGCUUGCAGGACUAUGAGCCAUGAUAGAAUAACAGAGCACAGAUUUGGCUUCUCAUGUUAAACAACUGAACCGUCAGAAAAAUAUAUGAAAAUAAUGAUGUUUCAAGUAUCAGAGAACAAUCAGUGCAGACAGUAACACCUAGGAGAGAAGAACUAAUGAAAUGAGCUUUAAGAUUGCUGUGCAUACUGCUCGGAGAAUUUCCAGGCCAUAGCACAACUCAAAUAUCACAGCUCAACUGGCUAUCUGCUUAAGUUGAAGGGACAGAGUUGAACAUUCUGAGAAGUCAAAGUGGUUAGAAUUUGCAGGGCAGGUUACUGGAGAGAAGAGAAAUGCACAGACAUCCAAAUGUCUGCAGAUGGCUCCUGUAAAGUCUUCAGCUGAAUGCUGGUCAGCACAUUCACGUAAGGGAAUUAUCUGAAGGUAGGGGAAAAAAAAUCACCAGAAAGGAAUAAUCAGAACAAUCCCUACAGCUCACUCAGAGCCAGGAAUAGUUUGUGUUUUCACUAAUUCAAAUGAAAAAAAUAAUCUUGUUAAUAUACAAGGCAUCAAAAAGAGUGCUAAGAAAUAUUUCUCUUAAAGAGGAAAAAUUAGCUCUGGACUAAUGUGCUGGAAUUUCUAUUUUCUGGACUAGUGGCUACUCUGGAUCCACCUAACAAAGCAAAAAGCAGGAAUUGAAGUGAUCAAACUGUUUUCAAAUGAUGUAAUUGUGUCUCAGAAUAAAUUCUAAGUAUAUUUCACUGAGAUGGAAUAUGUAGGACCUAACAAAAUAAAUUUCAAAAUACCUAGCAUCUAAUAAAGAAAUGAGCAGAUAUUCAAUGAAGUAGGAAAAUAAGAUUCUUAAUUAAGAGGAAAAAAUAAUGAAAUGCCAAAAAUGAUAUAAUUAUUAAAAAAAGAAAAACAGUUUUGAUAUACUCUAUAUAUACUCAAGAUGACAGAUAAGCACAAACAUGUUAAGGAGAGGCAUGGAAGAUUACUGGACUUUUGAAGAUGAAAAAUACAAUGUCAAAGAGGAAAAAGGCAUUGCAUGGCAUUGCCAAGAGGUUAGAAAUGGAAGAAGAAUACAUUAGUGAACUUGAAGAUAUAUCAAUUAAACUAUCCUGGAUGAACUCAAGAGAGAAAAAUGAGUGAAAAAAAUGAACAGUAUCAGUGAGCUGUGAAAUAUCAAAUGACCUAAAAUACAUUCAAAUCAUAGAAUCCCCAAAGCAGAGGAAGAGGGCAGAGAAAUACAUGAAAAAUAAUGACUUCAGUUUUUUUUUUUUGUUUUCAAAUUGAUGAGAACUAUAAACCACAGAUUCAAGAAGCUUACAAACCCCAACCUUAAGAAACAUGAAAAAAACUGCAAGGGACAUCAUAAUCACAUUGCUUAAAACCAGUGAUAAGAAAAAAAAUCUUAAAAACAGCCACAGGAAAAAGAUACAUUAUGUAUAGGAAAAUGAAGAUAAGAAUACAAGUCAGGAUUACUGUGGCAGUACUUUUUUAAGUAAAGGAAGAAAAAAAAAGGACCUAUCAAACUAGAAUUCCAUAUUCUACAAAAAUAUCUUUCAAGGAAAAUGAAAAAAAAAAGGCAAUACAAAGGCUAACAAAAUUCACCACCAGCACUGCAAAGAAAUGUUAAAGGAAGUUCUUCAGGAAGAUAAAAAUCUCAAUCUAUUCAAGGAAUGAAGAUCAACAGAUAAAGUAUUACUUAAUGAAGAUAAAUGAAAACAUAUGCCCACACAAAGGAAUGUGAAUGGAAUAAAAAAGACAAGAAAACUAUGAUUCAAUUCCAUAAAAUUCCAGAAAAUGCAAGCUUGCCUGUCAUAACUGUAAGAAUAUCAGUGGUUGCUGGAGACAAAAGACAGGUGAUGACAGGGAAGAAUAGCUGUAUUACAAAGUGGCAUGAAAAUACUUCUUGGAGUGAUGGAUAUGUUUAUUUCCUUGAUUGUAGUGAUGGAUUUACAGCACCAUUCAAUAUUAGAGGAAGACUGUAGAUGAAUUUAUUCACCUGUGCCAUAUUUUUCAUUGCUGCACAUAAUAAGAAGAACUACACAGAAGAGUGAAAGAAUUCAAAAGGUGAUAUGUGAGAACUUAAAGGAGAACAUAAUAUUUUCCAUCCAAUGUUUAUGUUUCUGACAUAUAGCUUGAGUAAACCUGGCAUUCCUACGUCAUGCCCUUGAGUUUCCCACAUGCUACCACCAAUCAGGUAGAACCAGUUGCUUCCAGGCAUUUCUAAUAGUGUAAUAAUUAUGAACACGAGCUAUGGAAUCAAAUGAUGUGUAUACUUCCUUUUAGUGAUGCCCUCUUACUAACUACAUGAACUUGAAAUGGUUACCCAACAUUUCUGAGAGAUGGUAUGUAUAUCUGUAUUGUGAUAGUGGUUAAGAGCAUGGUUUCUGGAGCUAGACUGCUGGGGUUUUAAUCCUAGAUCUGCCAAUUACUAUGUAAUCUUAAUACAUGUUAUUUAAUGUAUUUUUAAUUCAUCAUCUGUAAAAAUGAGAAUAAUAACAGUCCAUCCUCAUAGUGUUGUUGUGAGAUUUUUAUAUACAUAAUAUAUAAAAUAUAUAUUAUACAUUAUAUAUUACAUGUAAAUUAUAUAAUAUAUUAGAUAUAUAAAAUAUACAUUAUAUAUUCUAUAUGUAACAUAUGGAAUAUAAGACUAAAUUCUAACAAUAGAUCAUCUUUGAAGAUUUAUUUUUUCCAAGACAGUCUUACUCUACUACCCAGGCUGAAGUGCAGUGGUUCGAUUUCCACUCACUGAAACCUCUGCCUCCCAAGUUCAAGUGAUUCUCAUGUCUCAGCCUCCCUAGUAGCUGGGAAUACAGGAGCAUACCACCAAGACUGGCUAAUUUUUUUUUU